GCGGCUGGUUAUUUGAUCUUACAGCAAAUGCCUACGGCUUUUUUUAAAACUUUCCACCGGGUCGGAUCCCAGCUGGCAAUCGGUGCUGCUAUUUCACCGCCCUCCCACUCCCUCUCCCGCUCCUCCCUCCUCCUCCUCCUCCUCCUCCGCCCCUAUCCCUGCCUCUCCUCCACGCCCUUCUUCUUCCCUCUUCGCCCCUCCGAGGCCCUCGCCACCGUCGGCGGCGCCCCGAUCCCCACCCUUGCCGCGGAUCGCUCCAAAAGAGGCCGCUUCGUCGCUGCCGUCGCCGACCGCGAUCGCGGGGGAUCCUGCGGUCAGGGAAGUCGAAUUGGAAGGGGAGGCGGCGACGGCGGUGGUGGAGGUGAGGGUUCCGGUGGCGGUGGAGGCGGAGGUGGUGGUGACGGUGAAGGGGGAGAACGAAGGGGGAUCGGAUGAGGAUAAGAAGUAGAUGAGCUGGAUGUCCAUGUCGCAGAAGCUGACGCUGGGUUAUGCUGCUCUCUUCGGAGUUUUGUGAUCAGAGUUGAAGCUAGUACAGAGGAGACGAUAGCCUGCUCAUUCAUUAGUAACGUUGUAUUCUUCUGAGGAUUGUGUAUGCAAAGUGAACGAUCAUUUCUUUGAAUGAUGUAGCACAGGAGCUAUUCAUAUUCUUGGCAAAAGAACAAUCAAUUGCAAUCUUGAUAAGGUCUAUUUGGAUGCAUGGCCACACUGUAUGUUUUUGCCAUCUCUAAGUAGAUAUUGGCAAAAUGCAGUUCCCAAAAUAAGAAGCCAUUGAAAGAAUUGUUGUUGGAUUUAGAGGUAUUGAAUGCGCCGUUUCAGUUUGAUUACAACCGGAAGAGUCUAUUGAACUGUAAUUCUUACUGUUGUAGACUUGUAGUUUCAAUAGAUUACUGUAAUGAGAUCUUUAAAAAGGCCUUCUUGUGCAGCUUACAACAGUAAGAAUCAUUAGUUAGUGAUUUUGUAUUC